UAACCCCAGCGCCACAAGUGGGAACCACGUUUAUUGGGUCUAAAGCAUCCGUAGCCGGCUUUGUAAAUGUCCUGUGAAAUCGUUGUGCUCAACGCAACGUCGUGCAGGACAGACUGCAUUGCUAGGGACCAGGAGGGGUAGAGAGUAUUCCAGGGGGAGCGGUAAAAUGUUAUAAUCCUUGGAGGACUACCGAUGGCGAAGGCACUCUACCAGAAUGGAUCUGACGGUGAGGGAUGAAAGCUAGGGGAGCGAUCCGGAUUAGAUACCCGAGUAGUCCUAGCUGUAAACGCUGCAUGCGAGAUGUUGCACAAUCUCCGGGAUUGUGCAGUGUCGAAACGAAGGUGUUAAGCAUGCCACCUGGGAAGUACGGUCGCAAGGCUG
rnacentral:rRNA from 1 species